rnacentral:rRNA from 1 species
ACGGAAGGCAGCAGUGGGGGAUAUUGCACAAUGGGCGCAAGCCUGAUGCAGCGAUGCCGCGUGAGGGAAGAAGGUUUUCGGAUUGUAAACCUCUGUCAACAGGGACGAAAAUGACGGUACCUGUGAAGGAAGCUCCGGCUAACUACGUGCCAGCAGCCGCGGUAAUACGUAGGGAGCAAGCGUUAUCCGGAAUUACUGGGUGUAAAGGGAGUGUAGGCGGGACUGUAAGUCAGAUGUGAAAUAUGCCGGCUCAACUGGCAGACUACAUUUGAAACUGCGGUUCUUGAGUGAAGUAGAGGUAAGCGGAAUUCCUAGUGUAGCGGUGAAAUGCGUAGAUAUUAGGAGGAACAUCAGUGGCGAAGGCGGCUUACUAGGCUUUAACUGACGCUGAGGCUCGAAAGCGUGGGGAGCAAACAGGAUUAGAUACCCUGGUA